AGGGGCAUAGUCAAGCGGCAAGACAACGGACUUUGACUCCGUCAUUCGUUGGUUCGAAUCCAACUGUCCCUGCCA
rnacentral:tRNA from 1 species